GCUGACUGGAAGGCUAUGGGAACUCGGAUAAAAGCAUCUCGGAGCAUCGCAACAGCAGGUCAAACUCUGAGGUGGAUGAGCUACAGUAGCAGAAGACCACAUCAGGUUCUACUCCGGUGGGUGUGCUAAGAGCUGUGACUCAGAGGAGAAACAGGAAGUAUUUUGUGCUCAAAAACUUCACCCCCUCCACUAAAUCUCUUCCUCUGUCUGUCUUCAAGCUGAGAAAAAGUCCUACAGCAAGACAUAUUUAAUUUCCAAUUUCUCCAACGUUGGGCCUCUUGCGUAGUCACGGAUAGGCAUCUCCCCGUCGCUCGGUCACUCAAACCCUACACCUCAAAACACAGCCGGAUGAAUAGAACGAUAGAGGGGUGAAGACGAAGGCGGAGGAGUGAUCAGACCGGCGUGUAGCUCUGUCAGGCAACCCGACUCUCCUCGCCGUGGGGCGUCCUCGGGUUUUAUUCCCCCGGGUCCAGUUACCGGCUACACGUAAGCUUAACCAGGCCAGAUGAACACACACACACGGACAGACACAGUCACGGACACGCAAACACAAACACACGGACUAAACGCAGGCAGGAUGGAGCCGGAGCCAGAAGAAAGCGUGCCUGAACUGGCCGAGGGAAUCAUGCAGUUAAGUGCACGGACUUGUUCUGUUCUGCCAUGUAGAUCAGACUGCGUGUGUGUGUGUGUUUAAGAUCUUCAGUGGCCACGCCUUACAUCUGUAGGCCCUCACCGCAAUCUCUCGUGCAGCGCUCUUCUUUCACUUCCUUCCUGUUUGGUUUCUCCGUCUGGUGUGGGUUUAGGACUA
ensembl:lncRNA